rnacentral:rRNA from 1 species
UACGUAGGGGGCGAGCGUUGUCCGGAGUUACUGGGCGUAAAGCGCACGCAGGCGGUCUGCUAAGUUUGGAGUGACAGUUGGUGGCUUAACUGCCAAAGUGCUUCGAAAACUGACAGACUUGAGGGCUUCAGAGGGACACGGAAUUCCACGUGUAGCAGUGAAAUGCGUAGAGAUGUGGAGGAAUACCAAUGGCGAAGGCAGCCCCCUGGGUUAACACUGACGCUCAUGCACGAAAGCGUGGGAGCAACAGG